AAACUCAGUGAGCCCUCGCGCACAGCCCGCGCCACGGAUAUCUUCGCCGCCCGCUGCUUCGCGAGCUCUCGCCAUGGCGCUCCCGCUCGCCCGCCUCCUCCUCCCCGCGCCCCCCGCCUGCCAGUGCCAGCCCCCGCUUGGCCUGCGCUUCCCCACGCGCCACGUCUCCUUCGCUGCCUGCUCCCGCGGUCACCGCGCCGCCUUCGCUGCCCGCGCGGCCGCUAGUGCCCCCGCGGCCCCGGCGCCGGAGGCGGUGGCGGAGGAGAAAGUUGAGCCGAGGACGCGGCUCGUCGCGCAGAACAUCCCGUGGGACUGCACGGCCGACGACAUGCGCGCGCUCUUCGAGAAGCAUGGCUCCGUUGUCGGCGUCGAGCUUUCAAUGUACAAUGCCAGUAAAAACAGAGGGUUGGCAUUUGUAACCAUGGGUUCGGAAGAGGAGGCUCUUGCAGCUCUCAACAAUCUCAAUUCAACUACUUUAAAUGAUAGAAAAAUCAAGGUGGACUUUGCGAGACCUAGAAAGAAGCAACCUAAGCAAGUUAGGCAACCUGUCGUGGUAUCAGAUAGCACGGAAAAGUAUAUUCUGUUUGUCGGAAAUUUGACAUGGAGAGUUAGAAAUCGUCACCUUCGCGAAUUAUUUGCCUCGACCCCAGGUGUCCUAUCAGCUGAAGUUAUCUUUCAUACCACUACGCCAAGGCGAUCCGCUGGUUAUGCAUUUGUUUCUUUUUCUUCGAAAGAGGCUGCAGAGGCUGCCAUAUCUACUUUAAAUGGAGAGAAAUUGAUGGGACGGCCCAUUAAUGUGAUGUUCAAAGAAGAAAAUGCUAAGAAGAAUGAAUCUUCUGUCCCAAAGGAAGAGGUGUCCGAGGUGGAAUCAUCGGAGCAGAGUGAUAGCUAAACACUAACUUUUCAGAGAAUCAAGAAAAGUGAAAUGAAUUGAUCUGUGGUUACAUAUAUUCUGACCCAUGGGAUGCCAUAUUGCCGCUCCGUUUUGCUGGUUCAGGGCUCAUCAAUUUUGAAAUACGUGCUCUGUAAGUUCUCCAGUUGAUCUCUGUAACAUUUGGAGGACUGGAAUGCUGGGAGAGCACGCAAAUAUCAUAUCUGUGGUCCCUGUCAGCUAUCAGUAGUAGUAGUUAACUGUGAAGUAAACAUGAGCGUGGAGGAGCUCUCACGCAAACGGCUGACGUACUUGACCGUAGUUUCUCGUCUGUGAUGAAAUGUUUCGUUUGGAACCACAUACCAGAUAGAAAUUUGGCCGGUCAGAAAUACUGUUGUCAAGUCUACCUGCUAUCAUCCAGGUUCAUGGGAUUUGAGGAUUUGGGGAUUAAGCUCAUGAUUUAGGGAUUCAGAGCGAGGGGCCAUGAGAGGAAAGUUAGCCCAAUGGUAGAGGUGAAUUGGGGAAGGUGGUGGCGGCGGUUUGGGGAGGGUCAAACAGGCUCGUUGAGACGGGGCCACCCGCGAUGGAUGAGUCUCCGUGCAGAGGAGCUCCUCUGCUGUUGUGUCCUAGGAAAACCAGAUAUUUGUUUGUCUUCAGUGCCCUCCUAUGUUUAUUUGAGUUGACAAAUCGCAUUUAUUCUUCA